rnacentral:pre_miRNA from 1 species
AGUAUACUCCCUCGGUCCCAAAAUUUUUGUUUUAGAUUUGUCUAGAUAUGAAUAUAUCUAGUCACGUUUUAGUAUUUUGAUACAUUCAUUUCUAAACAAACUUAAGACAAAAAUUUUGGGACGGAGGAAGUAUUAU